rnacentral:rRNA from 1 species
ACUCCUACGGGAGGCAGCAGUGGGGAAUAUUGCACAAUGGGCGCAAGCCUGAUGCAGCCAUGCCGCGUGUGUGAAGAAGGCCUUCGGGUUGUAAAGCACUUUCAGUUGUGAGGAAGGUGGUGUCGUUAAUAGCGGCAUCAUUUGACGUUAGCAACAGAAGAAGCACCGGCUAACUCCGUGCCAGCAGCCGCGGUAAUACGGAGGGGUGCGAGCGUUAAUCGGAAUUACUGGGCGUAAAGCGCAUGCAGGUGGUUUGUUAAGUCAGAUGUGAAAGCCCGGGGCUCAACCUCGGAACUGCAUUUGAAACUGGCAGACUAGAGUACUGUAGAGGGGGUAGAAUUUCAGGUGUAGCGGUGAAAUGCGUAGAGAUCUGAAGGAAUACCGGUGGCGAAGGCGGCCCCCUGGACAGAUACUGACACUCAGAUGCGAAAGCGUGGGGAGCAAACAGGAUUAGAUACCCUUGUAGCACAGAG